rnacentral:rRNA from 1 species
UACAGAGGGUGCAAGCGUUAAUCGGAAUUACUGGGCGUAAAGCGUGCGCAGGCGGUUGUGCAAGACAGAUGUGAAAUCCCCGGGCUUAACCUGGGAACUGCAUUUGUGACUGCACGGCUAGAGUGUGUCAGAGGGGGGUAGAAUUCCACGUGUAGCAGUGAAAUGCGUAGAGAUGUGGAGGAAUACCGAUGGCGAAGGCAGCCCCCUGGGAUAACACUGACGCUCAUGCACGAAAGCGUGGGGAGCAAACAGG